rnacentral:rRNA from 1 species
AACGAACGCUGGCGGCGUGGAUAAGACAUGCAAGUCGAACGAGAUUUUUCGUUGUAGCAAUACGAUGGAAAGUCUAGUGGCGAACGGGUGCUUAACACGUGGGCAACCUGCCAGGAAGUGGGGGAUAGCUCGCCGAAAGGCGAAUUAAUACCGCAUGUGAUUAGAGAGGACAUCCUUUCGAAAUUAAAGUCGGGGCAACCUGACGCUUCUUGUGGGGCCCGCGGCCUAUCAGCUAGUUGGUGAGGUAACGGCUCACCAAGGCUUCGACGGGUAGCUGGUCUGAGAGGACGACCAGCCACACUGGGACUGAGACACGGCCCAGACACCUACGGGUGGCAGCAGUCGAGAAUUUUUGACAAUGGGGGAAACCCUGAUCGAGCGACGCCGCGUGGAGGAUGAAGGUCUUCGGAUUGUAAACUCCUGUCAUUGGGGAACAAUGCACAGAUAUUAACUGUAUUUGUGUUGAUAGUACCCGAAGAGGAAGAGACGGCUAACUCUGUGCCAGCCGCCGCAGUAAAAC